GAACAAGCUUUUCCAACCACAGUCUAGCAAGAUGAUCUCUCACACUCCCCUUCUCUGGCUCCUGGUUCUCUGGAUUCAGGACUCCUCCGGGCAAAUUGUGAUGACUCAGUCCCCGGAAUCUCUGGCAGUGCCGGUGGGAGGGAGAGUCUCCAUCAACUGCAAAGCCAGUACGAGCAUUAGCAAUUACUUACACUGGUACCAACAGAAACCUGGACAAGCGCCCAAACUUCUUAUCAGCUACGCUAGCACCCUCCAGUCGGGGGUCCCAGCCCGGUUCAGCGGCAGUGGGUCUGGCACGGAUUUCACAUUCACAAUCAGCAGCGUAGAAGCUGAAGAUGCUGGAGAUUAUUACUGCCAGCAGAGUAGCAGCUGGCCUCUCACAGUGAUACAGACCAAUACAAAAACCUCCCUGCUCUCUGCAGCAUGCAAUGCAGUUACCAUUUGCUGCAGAUAUAACUCUGAGGUUUUCAAAUGUUCUGUCAAACGUGAAGGAAGAGGGUAA